UUUGGCACUUGCACAUACUUGCUAACAAGGCCAAUCUCAGCAGCUAUGUCACGUGCCAGGCA
rnacentral:pre_miRNA from 1 species